rnacentral:lncRNA from 1 species
GAGUUACCAGACGAUGUCGUCUAUGGAGAUCGAGAAUCCCAAGCCAAAAACCUCUAAUCAGUUUGGUCGUUCUCCGAUCCAUUCCUUAGGGGAGAGACCGAAACGGAAAAACGAAACCGAAAAGUCCCAGAAGACGAAGACAAAGAGGCUGUGAAGCAUCCAAAACUCUGUCAUUGAAGCGGAUGGCUUGAGUUCUCUAAUCUCGAUUACGACGGUGACGAAUCCCAAAGAGGAAGAGAAAGGGAGUCGCUUGAGGGAGACAGAGUAGGAGGAGAUGAUGCAUCCUGCAAUGCCAAGAUCGAGAUUCUCGCCUUCUUUAUUUCAUUAUUAC